ensembl:miRNA
UGUGGGCUUCCCUUUGUCAUCCUAUGCCUGGAGAUCACAGUGAGGCAGGGACAGCAAAGGGAUGCUCAGCUGUCGUC